rnacentral:rRNA from 1 species
GAUGAACGCUGGCGGCGUGCUUAACACAUGCAAGUCGAACGAAGCACUUAAGAUUGAUUCUUCUGAUGACGUCUUUUGUGACUUAGUGGCGGACGGGUGAGUAACGCGUGGGUAACCUGCCUCACACAGGGGGAUAACAGUUAGAAAUGACUGCUAAUACCGCAUAACCCGAUAGGAUCGCAUGAUCCAGACGGAAAAGAUUUAUCGGUGUGGGAUGGACCCGCGUCUGAUUAGCUAGUUCGUGAGGUAACGGCGCACCAAGGCGAGGAUCAGUAGACGGACAGAGAGGGUGAACGGACACAUUGGGACUGAGACACGGCCCGAACUACUACGGGAGGCAGCAGUGGGGAAUAUUGCAAAAUGGGGGGAACCCUGAUGCAGCGACGCCGCGUGAGUGAAGAAGUAUUUCGGUAUGUAAAGCUCUAUCAGCAGGGAAGAGAAUGACGGUACCUGACGAAGAAGCCCCGGCUAACUACGUG